AUUGAACGCUGGCGGCAGGCCUAACACAUGCAAGUCGAGCGGAUGACGGGAGCUUGCUCCUUGAUUCAGCGGCGGACGGGUGAGUAAUGCCUAGGAAUCUGCCUGGUAGUGGGGGACAACGUUUCGAAAGGAACGCUAAUACCGCAUGCGUCCUACGGGAGAAAGCAGGGGACCUUCGGGCCUUGCGCUAUCAGAUGAGCCUAGGUCGGAUUAGCUAGUUGGUGUGGUAAUGGCUCACCAAGGCGACGAUCCGUAACUGGUCUGAGAGGAUGAUCAGUCACACUGGAACUGAGACACGGUCCAGACUCCUACGGGAGGCAGCAGUGGGGAAUAUUGGACAAUGGGCGAAAGCCUGAUCCAGCCAUGCCGCGUGUGUGAAGAAGGUCUUCGGAUUGUAAAGCACUUUAAGUUGGGAGGAAGGGCAGUAAGUUAAUACCUUGCUGCUUUGACGUUACCGACAGAAUAAGCACCGGCUAACUCUGUGCCAGCCGCCGCAGUAA
rnacentral:rRNA from 1 species